rnacentral:sRNA from 1 species
AGCCCAGACAGCAGCCAGCCAGUGGCGUUCCUGGCUCCUCGGGAUUUUCCUUUUCCUCUGAAGCUGCUGAUUCAUCCCCAGGCUGGAGUCAGGCUCAGCUGUGGGGCUGGGAGCAUGGGCUCUCAGGCUGCUGCUGGGUGGAGGAACUGGGCCUCUUGGGAGGUGUCCUCCAGCCUCUCUGGAUGCUCCAUGGGUGGGGGUCGGGAGUGGUGAGGGAAGGGUGGCGCAUCUCAGAGCCCUCGCAAAUUUCUGGCCAGAAAUGUGGGGGUGUGGGCACAGCUUGGCCAAGGCCAUGCUGCAAGGGCCAGGGUGGCCGUCCUUCCUCACUCCUGUCUGGCCUCCCUCUGCAGGGUGCUUCAAGGAUGACCGCAUCGUCUUCUGGACUUGGAUGUUCUCCACCUACUUCAUGGAGAAAUGGGCUCCCCGGCAGGACGACAUGCUUUUCUAUGUGCGCCGGAAGCUGGCGUACUCCGGCAGCGAAAGCGGUGCAGACGGGAGGAAGGCAGCUGAGCCCGAGGUGGAGGUGGAGGUGUACCGGCGGGACUCCAAGAAGCUGCCGGGCCUGGGAGACCCUGACAUCGACUGGGAGGAGAGCGUCUGCCUGAAUCUCAUCCUGCAGAAGCUGGACUACAUGGUGACCUGUGCGGUGUGCACACGUGCUGACGGCGGGGACAUUCACAUCCAUAAGAAGAAAUCUCAGCAAGUGUUCGCGUCCCCCAGUAAACACCCCAUGGACAGCAAGGGGGAGGAGUCCAAGAUCAGCUACCCCAACAUCUUCUUCAUGAUUGACAGCUUCGAGGAGGUGUUCAGCGACAUGACUGUAGGGGAAGGAGAGAUGGUCUGUGUGGAGCUGGUGGCUAGUGACAAAACCAACACGUUCCAGGGGGUCAUCUUUCAGGGCUCCAUCCGCUACGAGGCGCUCAAGAAGGUGUAUGACAACCGGGUGAGCGUGGCCGCCCGCAUGGCACAGAAGAUGUCGUUUGGCUUCUACAAGUACAGCAACAUGGAGUUUGUGCGCAUGAAGGGCCCCCAGGGCAAGGGCCACGCCGAGAUGGCGGUCAGCCGAGUGUCUACAGGUGACACAUCCCCCUGUGGGACUGAAGAGGACUCCAGCCCAGCUUCGCCCAUGCACGAGCGGGUGACCUCCUUCAGCACACCCCCCACCCCAGAACGGAACAACCGGCCCGCCUUCUUCUCCCCAUCCCUCAAGAGGAAGGUGCCCCGGAACCGGAUCGCUGAGAUGAAGAAGUCGCACUCGGCCAACGACAGUGAGGAGUUCUUCCGGGAGGACAACGGUGGAGCCGAUCUGCACAACGCAACCAACCUGCGGUCUCGGUCCCUGUCGGGCACAGGACGGUCCCUGGUCGGGUCCUGGCUGAAGCUGAACAGAGCAGAUGGAAACUUCCUUCUCUAUGCACACUUAACCUACGUCACGUUGCCGCUGCAUCGGAUUUUAACAGACAUCCUGGAAGUUCGGCAGAAGCCCAUCCUGAUGACCUAGCCGCGUGCGGAGCCUGUGCAGAGCCCCGGCCGGGCCCAGCCCUGGGAGUGCUGCCAAGUGCCUACCUGUCCACCGCCACCGGGGUCUGCUGUGACACGCCAGUGCUGGAGCCGCAGCCAGGCGAGGCCACUCGACUCCCGGGGCCGGGGCCGACUCCACGAACACCAGCCCAAACUGAAGUGCCUCUUCCCUCCCCUGCUGGCUCUGCUCCGCCCUGUGCCCCCACACCCAUCGCCCCCCACCCAUCUCUGGAGAGCCCUCUGCACCCAAAGAGGACUAGAGAUGCCGAGCGGCCAUGAGAGAGCGGAAGGAGCAGCUGAUGCCCAGAGCGGGGCCAGAGCGGCGGGUCCAUGUUCACGUUCCCCCAGCAGCAGGCGGAACCACCCAGCCAGGGCACUCGGCGCAUCAGACUGUCCACACGUUCUUGAGGAAAGCCGGUGGAAGAUUCUGGAAUGCCGUGCGGAUGAACUUCAGCACCCGAGUCAGUCCCAGCUCAUCCUCCCCAGUUUACCACUUUGUUCUAAUAGGAGAUGGAAACACAAGAAGUUUGAUGGCUUUGCCCUGGGCUGGGAAUACCUCACCCACGCCCAGUUCCAGAAAGGCCUCCAGCUGAGCAGAUGGCCCCGAUCCCGCCAGAACGGCCUUUUGCUUCCAGCCAAAGAACACCGCCAACACACACACCUCCAACCUGGGACAUCCCACGCUGGGCCUCGCACGGAGGAACCUGCAGAAUUUGGAUUCUGAGGGUAGUCGGGAGGCCUCGGUAGCCAGGCAGAACAGGAUAUCUGCCAAAGGGUGUCUGAUGUGGGGUGGGGCUGGCAUCCUCCCAGGAAGGUUCUAGGUGGGACCCCGUCUUCUGGGGGCGGGGGUGUCUUUUCAUCUUCCCUGGUUUCCUAGAACUCACUUCCUUUGACGGCGUGUGUUGGUCCCAUCUCUCAGACCAGCUCACUGAGGCAGAGGAGUUGCUCAGAGGCUCACAUGGGCACACCCAUUGGUUCGUGUGAGCAGCUGCCCAGCCCCAGGCCUGCCCUCGGCCUGGUCCAGCAUGAAGGCGUUUCCAUCUGCAAGGAUGCACGGUACCCUCCCCGAGAGCAGGCCUGUCCCCUACCCAACUGGGAAUAAACUGGAAGCUGGGUC